ensembl:lncRNA
GACCGGAUUUAUACGCUCAGCAGCAGCUCAAACCUCCGCUAUCAGCGUUUCUGUGCUAAUCAUAUUUAGAAGGAUACAGAGACAGAUGGAAAUAAGAUGCCAAAGGGCUGGAGCCUGUUUCAGAGAGAUUAAAGUAUGAAUAGUUAAUCACUGCUUUAAACAUUCCCUCAGCGACGGCGGAGAGGAUUUUGACUCCCCAAUACCUGCCUGUAGGGCACGGCUCACGGGGACUGUGCAUAGUGGGCGCUGAGGGUUGGGGUGGCCGAGGGGCUCACUGCUCCUUCCCCAUGCUGAAUCUGAAUGGGCAGUUGAGCCCUUCGCUGCUGCUUUUUAAGAAUUCAGUGAGAGCUCAGACCCGGUGGGCAGGCAGCCCCAAGGGGAGAAGUGAUGCUCUUCCCGUAGACCUGGCCAACAGAGUGCUCACGGAGGAUGAGCAAAAUCACUGCAAGGGCAACAGCAGCCCCAGCAGCUGGGGGUUCUUCCAAGAAUCCACACCAAGCGAGGAUGGAGAUUGGAUCUUCGGCCCCAACCCAGAUGACAACAGCAACAAAAGCGACGUCAACUGCAUCACCAACAGCGUGAAUGAGAUGAGCGAGAUGCCCGAGGUGCCGCGCCACCGUGACCGCCAGCCCCAGGACGUGGUCAUCGCCAUCAGCGAGACCUGCCACCUGCCACAGCAAACGUGAGCAGUGUGACAGGAUGGGCACGACAGGGAAGGACCAGGAGAAGUCUCCUUGUUCGCCUCUACCGCCGACAGAGGAUUGUCUGCUGCUGAGCAACCAGCGCUGCAGGGAUGGGGGCAAAGGAAAGGGGCUGCGGGAUGGGCAGAGCCCUCCGGGCUCCAAAGACAUUGCCAGGGCCACGGGCUCGUCAGUCCUGCGGGUCCAUCGGCUUCCUUUUUUUUCCCCGUGAAUAGCAAAAAAGCAAAUGGAGAAAUACAGUGAGCAGAGGCGAGGUGGAGAAGAGGAGGGGUGGUCCUUUGGCAUGCGGCUGUCCUGCGUCAUGGGAAUGGGGCGGUGGGAAGGGCAAAGUGGGGAGAUGUACAAGAAAUACGUGUGUCUGCAAACCUCCCUGUACAGGAGAGCAUCUCCCAGCACACCCAUGCAAUCGGAAGGACGAGGCUGGAGGGGAGGGCAGGGACCCACCAGCAGUGAACACAGCCCUUUGUGUCCCCAUUUAGCUGCAUCUCGGGCUCAUCCCCUUUGGGUUCCCUUUGUCACCUCCAAGCUGGUUGACUCCCUGAGGGUGUGCUGGGGUCACCACAUCCACACGUGUGAUGUUUGAAGACAGGAUCCACCAUUUCUCUGCACGGCACAGCUCUCUACAUCUUUUCCAAAUUCAUAAAAGGCUGGAGGGGCUGAUCCUGGGCAGAGGCAAUUGACCCAGCCCCAGGAACCCAUAGCAGGGGUUGGAGCAUCAUCUGCCUCCCAGAAGCACUUCAUGGGGCUGCAGCUAUCAAGGGGAGAGGUGCUGCAAUGGGGAAUGCCAGGGCAGAUGGGGAGCAGUUCUGUAUAGGUGUACGGAGCCAGAAGAUGACAUGAGUCCCUGUUAAUUCUCUGUGUAUAUGUGUGUAUAUGUGUGUAUCUGUGUCCCUGCCUGGCGAGGUGGGGGCACUUCUGCUGAUCCCACCACUGAGGCUGCACUAUCACAGCACCUCAUUUCUCUGGCCCACUGCAUUGAGCUGGAGGAAUGCUCUGGGAGACCAGGGGCGAUGCCUGCAAUUUUGGACGCUGGGAGCGGGGCUGCAGCAGUGGGACUGGGGAAACUCGGGAGGAUCUCAGUUCCUGGGGGGGGGGCAGAAGCUUUCCUGGGAGUUGCGGGUCUCCUCAUUGCCCUGCCUUCUCAGGACCUGGGGCUGAGCAUCGGGUGUUGCAGGGUUCUCAGCGACAGUGUCCCUCUGUCACCCGCUGUCCUGGCAGGGACACGGCUCCCUCCUGUGGCCGCUCUUCCUGGGCCUCCUGCAGCCGGGACCCAUCCGUGCGAACGUCGCAGGGUGGUGGGAGGCGGCCGAGACCCCAAAAAGGUGGCGGGAGAGGAAAAGGAAGGGCUCGUCGUGCGGAGUGGCACAGCUGCAAAGCGGGACUGCAAGAGCACAGAGCGCGAAGUGUCGUAUCAUCAGCAAGUGAUGGCAGGAGGGAUGUGCAGAGCUCUGCUCCAGGUGAUGCCAUGUCUGACCCACUGAGCCACCGUGCAUGCAGGUUUGAUGAACACAGAUCCCCUCUGGGUGCUGAAGGGGGGCACCUGGGGUAACCUGGAGCCGUGCACGGCUUCCGGCUGAAAACAGUUCCCCAGGAAAGCAGUGCUUUUCAAUCCAGCCUCCCUAAAGACUGGGAAGGGCCUCAGCACAGCCCCCUAAGUCCUGCUUUCCUCCCAUAAGCGCCUUAGGGAGCAGGGUGAGAGGUGCCAGCACUUUUUUAUAGCAGCUGUAAUCCACACUGCCUACACCUCGUGCUCCUCCUGCCCGAAGCACAGCCUCACAAGUGGGAGGAUCCCAAAAAUGACCUCAAACCCCCAUGGUUCCCAGUAGAGAGAUGUGCACAGGAUGAGCAAAAUACCCAGGGGGACACAUGAGGGGCUGGUUGAGGAUGGUGGGUUCCUUUCCUCCUAAUACCUCCUGUAAUAAGAGGGAAACUCUUGGCAGGGGAGCCGUGCCCUUUCCCAUGAGCUUUAGGUGCUGGUGGAGCUCCAUACUGCACAUCUGGAUAUAACACCAAGACCUGAGCUUUGGUAUUUUAUUUGGCCCAAAUCAGCCACCAGUCCCAAACUGCCACUGCGGGAUGUGGGGCUGCAGUUAUGCCGUG